GAUGAAGAACGCAGCGAAAUGCGAUAAGUAAUGUGAAUUGCAGAAUUCAGUGAAUCAUCGAAUCUUUGAACGCACAUUGCGCCCCUUGGUAUUCCGGGGGGCAUGCCUGUUCGAGCGUCAUUUGUACCUUCAAGCUUUGCUUGGUGUUGGGUGUUUGUCUCGCCUUUGCGUGUAGACUCGCCUUAAAAUAAUUGGCAGCCGGCGUAUUGAUUUCGGAGCGCAGUACAUCUCGCGCUUUGCACUCAUAACGACAGCGUCCAAAAGUACAUUUUACACUCUUGACCUCGGAUCAGGUAGGGAUACCCGCUGAACUUAAGCAUAUCAAUAAGCGGAGGA
rnacentral:misc_RNA from 1 species